GAACGGGGUUAUUUAGGAAAUUUCCUUCGGGGAAUGGAAUCUUUAACCUAGUGGCGGACGGGUGAGUAACGCGUGAGCAAUCUGCCUUCGGAUGGGGGAUAACAGCCGGAAACGGCUGCUAAUACCGCAUAACACAUGGGAUCCGCAUGUUUCCCAUGUCAAAGAUUUAUCGUCCGGAGAUGAGCUCGCGUCUGAUUAGCUGGUUGGCGGGGUAACGGCCCACCAAGGCGACGAUCAGUAGCCGGACUGAGAGGUUGAACGGCCACAUUGGGACUGAGACACGGCCCAGACUCCUACGGGAGGCAGCAGUGGGGAAUAUUGCGCAAUGGGGGCAACCCUGACGCAGCAACGCCGCGUGAUUGAAGACGGCCUUCGGGUUGUAAAGAUCUUUAAUCGGGGACGAAUUUUGACGGUACCCGAAGAAUAAGCUCCGGCUAACUACGUGCCAGCAGCCGCGGUAAUACGUAGGGAGCAAGCGUUAUCCGGAUUUACUGGGUGUAAAGGGCGUG
rnacentral:rRNA from 1 species